UAGAGAUUUAGUGCAUGAGUUUUAGGAAGGAAAGUGAAGAAGGGAUUCUUCUUAUGAUCUCUAGUAUAGAGAUCAUCAUCCUUCUAUUUUUUGCUUCUUCUGUAUCUUGAGAGAAGAAAAAAAAUUCAACCGUCAAGAUGCGAUCUCCGCAAGGAAGCUAGCAUCUCAAUGAGAUCAAGAAGCAUCUGAUUAGAUCAAAGUCUUAUAUGGAUGUCCCUAG
rnacentral:lncRNA from 1 species